UACGAGGGGGGCUAGUGUUGUUCGGAAUCACUGGGCGUAAAGGGAGCGUAGGCGGGCUUUCAAGUUAGGUGUUUAAUCCCGGGGCCCAACCCCGGACAGGCACUUAAAACUGGAAGUCUUGAAUAGUGGAGAGGUCAGUGGAAUUAGAGGUGUAGCGGUGGAGUGCGUAGAGAUCUCUAAGAACACCAGUUGCGAAGGCGGCUGACUGGACACAUAUUGACGCUGAGGCUCGAAAGCAUGGGGAGCAAACAGG
rnacentral:rRNA from 1 species